CCAUCUCUCACUGUCUACAUCUCUCUCUCUCUCUCUCUCUCUCUCUCUCAUCUCCUGUUCUCUUCCUCCCUUCUGUCCAUCUUGUUAGGCUUAGCUCAGGGAAUCAUAUAGAACAGUUCCUGAGGGGGAGAAAAUGAGAGAUUGGGUUUCAGCCCGAUGAUGCCACUUAGCCAUUAACUAUCUCCAGCAAAACCAUGUACCCCCCACCCUAACCCCUCCGCCCAGCCUCCUUCCUUCUACCAUUCAUAUCCAAUCACCCCUCCUCCUUCUCCCCGUCCCAUCUCCCUCCCUCUCUCCCUCACUGUUUCCCACCCUCCAUCUCUAUCUCACUCUCUCACACAUACACACACACACACACACAGGCUCUGGGAGUGAGUGGAUGAUCGCACGAGCAGGAACCGCUGACCGUACACAGAUAGAGAGAGAAAAAGAGAGACAGAGAGUCCGAGAGAGACAAUCCAACAUUUUCAGCUCAUACUGAGAGAAGACAAACUACAUAGCCGCUGCUGAGCUCUUUCCACAUGGUUAUGUGGAAGUACUUCUGAAAAGCAAAGCUCCUCUCCGUUACUUUGCCCCGGGGACAUUUUUGUUUCUUUUUCAAAUUAAUUGGGAUAUUCCAUGUGACAUGUUGCCCUCGUUUCCACAAGAAUCAUGUUUUUUUUCUGAGUGUUUUUUGAACAUGCAGUGCUCUAGCUGUUCCCUGAUAAAGGCUGUUGCUGUUCUUCAGAGGGAAUGACUGAGCGCUGAGGAACCAGGAUUGCUUGCACGUGUGGGACAGUUGUGAAGAAGCAUUGGGAGGCAGAAGAGAGAAAACUGCUCAAGAAAAUAUAAAGGAAAGAAAGAAAACAAGAAACAAACAAACAUAAAAUACUGUUUUGGCGCAAAAUGGAUCUCCCUCCUUUUAGGGCAAGGUGGCUCCCAAAAGGUGAGACCGGUGGCAGUGCGGCCCUGAGCCACCCUGGGGGAUGCUGGAGCCUCAGAGGCUGGUGGAGAGCUGGAGCCGUUGACAGGUGGAGGUGUGAUGGAGAAGCAGGCGCCAGAGAAUGCUGAAAGGGGCUGAAGAGGUCCACAGUGCUGGGGCAGAGCGGAGCCAGCCUACAAAGCAUAAAAACAGGGAUUUUGGGCAUCAGUGCUCAUAUAUAUACUCUUUUUGUCCCUAUAACAAAAGUUAAGAUGUUGUUGACAUGAAAUAAUUAUUAUUUUCCCAGCAGCAUUAUAUUUUAGGCCAAACUUUAUAUUUUUUAUUUUUAUUUUAAAAUGUAAAAGAAUUUAUAAAAGCAGUUUUUAUUACAGUUUUUUUUUCUACUGCUUACUCAAAAAAAAUCUUUACUUGUCACACAAUUUCUUAAACCUGACACUCAAACUUCAGAACCACACACCAAAUCUGACUCAGUUUUCAAUUUCUUAAAAACACUUUUUAAAAAACACAACACACAAUUCUAACACACAAAAAUCUAACAGGAAUUAAUAUUAUGGCAAAGUUGUUUGCAAAUGUUUGCUUUUGAGAUGUGUUUGUGAUAUUUUGAAUGCAGAUGUGAGGCAUUUUGCAUUUUGUGUGUGCAAUUCUUGGAUUUGUGUAAAGUUUUUAAAAAAUGAGGCAAAGUUUUGAAAAAGUGUGUAUGCAGUUGAAAAAAAAAGCUGCAACAUCCUAAACUCUGAAAAUUAUGUUGAAAAUGUUAUCUCUUAAUUUCAGUUAAUGUAUAGGUGUGGUACAAGUAAAUUUAUCCCAGUUCUAGUCUGUCUAGACAUGACUAUAUCACACCACGGCUGCGACAGAGUUUUCUGGUGGCUUGCCGAGGGCCCAUCUGUUUUGUGGUGAUCGGUUAGAGGUUGGCGGUGUUUGUGUUAAAGUACUGUAUGUGAAGUGUGUUUUAA
ensembl:lncRNA